AGGUCUUGCAGCAGAAAGGAUCAAGAAUGUGAAGAAUGCCAUUGUUUAUAAUAUAAUGACCACACCUUUUUGUGACUAGAAUUUUUUAGGCUAAAGACUGAUAUUUUGAUAUUGAUUUUAUUGUUAACUAUUAAUUGUCAUUUUAGUGUAUGUACUGUAAAAAAAAAAGCUUUUCUUUUAAUUAAAUAAGUCAUUCUUGUAAAUGUUAGACAUUUUAGAAAUGAUUUAAUUUAUUAAUGUCUGUCAAUGUUUUGUAAGCAAGCCCUUUUUUAAUAAAUGUUGGUGCUUUAAUCAUGUUCAUUAUUAAACUAAGAGGAUUUCAUUAUUUCGAUUUAACUAAUUUUCUAUAGGUUAACAAAUUAAUUCUUAAUCCUUUUUGAACUUUUCCAUUCACUGACUUUUAGAAAUUAAAACCUCGGAAUAUAUGUUUUUCUCCAAAUAACCAAAUAACAUUAAAAAAAACCAUUUGCUGAAAAGUUUGAAACUGGACAGGUGUGUUGAUUAAUAAUGGUACCCAGCUCCAUGGGGUAUCCUGGUUGACUUAUGUCUGUCUGUAUGUCUGUCAAUCCAUGCAAUUAGAGUUUAAUCACUUUUCUAUCAGGAACUACAAAUCAGCUUCCUGAAAUUUGGUUAUCAAGCUUCACUCAAGCAUGCGUUACAGUGUGAUGCAUAUUCAGAUUCCUUUAUCAUCCAUUUCAUGUUUAUUUAAAAACUUAUAUUUUCAUACAAACAAUAGCCAUGUUUGAAAUUCAAGUUGUGUUUUUAUAUAUAUAUCAUAGCUUCUGAAAUUUAAUGGUAUCAAACUUCAUGGAAGCAUGCUAUACUGUGAUGCAUUUUUAUGACCAUCUCUUAUCAAUUUCCUUUACAGAAUAAUUAUGUAGGGAGUGAGCAAUAGCUCACAGAUUAAUCAUUUUCUUAAUGCAAAUGAUAACAUUUAUUAUAAAUCUAUAAAAUAAUCAGAUGUUCAUCAGACAUUAUUCUGUCAGAUAUAAGAUGUCAUAUUUUUAGAUUUCAUCUAAAUCAUUCCUUUAGUGUACUUGAGUUGUUUGCUAAACUGCAAAAACUAAAAUCGCUUCAUUUUCAGAGUUAGUCUUUAAUAUUUAGAAAUGAGCCAAGGUUUUACCCAAAAAUUAUAUAUAUUUUGCUACAAUAUAUAUUAAAAGAUGUCAACAUGUAUGAAUUAUCUUUUUGAUUAAGACCUUUAUUCAUAUCUUUUUGUUCCAAAACUAUGUACAAAGUGGCCAUUUUAGGUCAAAUAUAUCCAUUUCAAAACAGUCAUAGUGACUUCACAAGUUACCUCUCUGCACUUAAGAUUCCAAAUUUACCAAAAUAUUAUAAAAAGUGUGGGUCACAGAAUUAUUUUUUGUUUGUUUGUAUAUUGCUAUCACAUCGUCAGCGUGGUCCGAAGACAGAUGGUUUCCAGAUAAUAACGUAAGAAUAAGUUAUAGAAAUCAAAAAAAUUGUAACACAAGGUUUAUAACCACUAAAGGAAGGGGGUUAUGGUCCUAACUGUUUAGGAAUUAGGAGCUGAAAAAGGGGCCCAAAUAAGCAUUUUUGUAGUUUCCAGACAAUAACUUGUGUAUGUCUCUAAAAUUAUACCACAAGUUUCCAUACUACAAAGGGAUGAUAAGGAUUGACUUUGGGGGGUUGUGGCUCAAACCAUUUAGGAAUUAAGGCAAAAAAUGUGGAGAAACAAGGGUUUUUCUGGUUAAAGGACAAUUGAGACAAUUUAAAAGCAUUGUAAGGGAGGGGAUCAAAAUCAAUUCGCAACAGCAUAUAGUGGAUUGCACAAAAGCAAAAAAUUAAAUAUAAAUUCAAAUCAUAUAACUAAUUUGAAGUUCUUUAACUAAGGUUAUUUUGCGUCAGAAACCUAUUAUGUGUCAAAAUUUUAUUAACAAUCCAAAUUCAGACCUGUAUCAAGUGUGAAUAUUUUGUCCAUUUUGGCCCCAACUUUCAGGGUUGGACAUCUGUGGUCGUAUCCAGCUGUGCUCAGCCAAGCAAUUUCUCUUCAUACUCAAAUAGGUAUACAUGUAUACACAACUCAUUCUAGUAUAAAAAUUUCUUGAGUUAUCUCCCCUAAUAUAUUAUAAUGAGUUAUCCCCCCUUAAAAAAAAAGAAAUGAAUCAAACAAUUUUUAUUUUUUUUAAAUACAGUGGUAAAUAUGAUAAAACACAUAAUUUUCUAUAUAUUUAACAUGAAAAGUCUUCAGUUUCAAUAUCUAUGUAAUUGAUUCAGUGAAAUUGAAAAGGUAAUAUUGUUUUUCCUUUCAAAAUUAUGCUGUAGCUAUGGGGUUCAAGGUUUUCAUAUGACCCUUAUCCCCUUAAAAACCAGUACAUGCUAUUAAAUGCAAUAUGUUGUUGGAACUUUACUGUUGACCAAUUGACAUAAUGAAGAAUUUAUCACGGAUUGCAUUGAGCGGUACAGAUUUUUAAUGACAGGUUGCAUGCCCCACUCAUAUCUCUGAAAUUCCAUGCUGCAGGCCACAUGAUGGAGGUAUCUUGUUAUCAAUUAAAAAUUAAAGAUAUCUUGGUAAUAUGAACUAAAUCCCAGUAGCUAAAAUAUAUUGUGUUUUUUUUUCGAGCACAUAUAUAUGAGGAACUUUUUAUUGCAAUUUCUGUCUCGCCUAGACUGAAUCAUAAUGCAAGAUGUAGGUAUGCAGUUUCAAUGGGACAGUGUCAACAAUUUGAUAAAUUUUCAUACACCCAUUUACAGGACGUAUUAUGGUAUUCGUCUGUCCAUCUGUCGUCAACAUGUCGGAACAAAUAACUCAUUGACAAACACUUCAACCAAUUGGCAUAAAACUUCUGAUAAUUGUUUAUAUCUAUUGACGUGAGCUCCCUUUCAUAUUUUAUAAAUUUUAGAUUUUAUGUUUCCAGUUAUGGGGUUUUAUUCAUUAAAAAAGGGGGGUGUUCCAGUUUUCAGACACUGAAUAACUUGAGUGAUUUCAGCAGUUUUCAUAAAACUUUGGUGAAUUGUUUAUAUCUAUUGGCGUAAGCUCCCUUUCCAUUUUAUCAAUUUUAGAUUUUACGUUUCAGAGUUAUGUGAUUGUAUUCACAAAAAGGGGUAUUUUUCAGUUAUCUGUCAAUGCUUAGAGUAGUUAUCAUGAAACUUUUGUGACUGGUUUAUAACUAUUAAGAUAACCUCCCUUUAGUUUUUCAUGAAUUUCUGAUAUGACAUUGAGAAGUUAUUGAACUUUAUUCCUCAUGGCCCAGCAGUUUAUUUGCUUAUGUCAGUUCAUGGGGAACCACUUUAGGUAAAUCAAUGAUAUAUGGCACAUCUCAGUUCCAUGGCUUUAAAACUUUUGCAAAGUUUACAUGGUAAAGUUUGUGAUAAGAUCGGUUACCGUAGGAGGAGCCACUGAUGCUAAGUUUAUUAGACUAGUCUAGUAUUGGCACAUCUAAUUUCUAUGAAGAUAAGUCUACUGACUGAAAUUUUUUACAUAGUAUAUAUCUUGUAAGAUUUUUAUAUGGUAAUUUAAGCACACAGUAUCCCUGUACAAUAUCCCCAGACGGAUCUGAAUCCCGAGUAGCAAUUAAUGUAAAGUAUAUAACAGUGGGGAAGUGAAAUCUCACGGAGCAUAAUUCUUCAGAUCCAGAUGUUACAUGCACACUGGUGCAAACUUUUCAUUAAUUGCUCUAAGGGAUUUCCAUCACACCCUGUUUCAGAUUAUGAUACCAGUUAUUUUAAGGGGAAUUAUGAUAAUUCUAUAUUUGGAAUGCAGAUUCAUUAUCAUGGAGAUAAGACAGCUCAGACUCCUCAUUCAUGGUCUAUUGACUUUUAUAAUUUUGAAUAGUUUACUUGUUAAUUAAAUUCAAGUUUUAUCAGGUCAGUUUGAAGGAAACCACUUAUUAUAGGUCUUUUUAGUAUGCAGGUGUUAAAAUAUUAGCACAUCUCAUUCCAUGGAGAUUAUUUGGCCCUGCUCCCUCAUUCGUGGUCUAUUGACUUAGAAACUUUGCAUAGUUAACAUGUUUGUAACUUAGUCAGUAAAUGAAGAAUAGAUAAGUCAAUGAAACUGUGUCAGCAGUUGUAUCAGCAUUGGCAUAACUUUCUUUAGGGAAAUUAACUUCAGUCACGGUUCAUUGACUUUGAAUAUUUUGCAUAUAUUUUACAUGUUAAAGUAUUAAAAGUAUUUGAAUUUCAACUUUUGCAUUUUACUAUCGAAAUAACAGACAAGACAUAUCUCUGUUUCAACAUUUUAUUCAAUUAUUUCAUCAACAUUUUUAUCGCU
rnacentral:lncRNA from 1 species